rnacentral:rRNA from 1 species
UACGUGAAACCGUUCAGGGGUAAACCUGAGAAAUCCGAAAGAUCGAACGGGGAGAUUCAAUGCUGGCUCCGAUCGGAGGUUCGGUAACUGUGUGACGUCGGCUUUCGAGUUUGGCGCGCCGGUCCGACUUUCUGGCAGGAACGUGUGCACUUCUCCCCUAGUAGGACGUCGCGACCCGUAGGGUGUCGGCUUAAGGUGCGCGGUGGAGCCCGUGCGGCAUAACGCUGCGCGGACCCGCGGCUACCCAGCCGACAUUCCCGACGGUAUGAACGAAGGCGAGAGGCCGCGAAUUUUCGCGUCCGACCUGCCGCAAGCUCUAACGGACAUAACCCGGUUGGCGGACCUAGUGCCGACUCCGGGCCCGUUUGGCUGCUGGUGGUGGUGUUCUCGGACAGACCUCUAAUACGCCGGUCAGCGACGCUAUUGCUUUGGAUACUUUCAGGACCCGUCUUGAAACACGGACCAAGGAGUCUAGCAUGUGCGCGAGUCAUUGGGACUUAAUAAACCUAUAGGCGAAAUGAAAGUAAAGGCGCGCCUUGUGCGUGCCUAGGGAAGAUUGGUCGGACUACGGUCUGACCACGCACUCCCGGGGCGUCUCGUUCUCAUUGCGAGAAGAGGCGCACCUAGAGCGUACAUGCUGGGACCCGAAAGAUGGUGAACUAUGCCUGGUCAGGACGAAGUCAGGGGAAACCCUGAUGGAGGUCCGUAGCGAUUCUGACGUGCAAAUCGAUCGUCGGAACUGGGUAUAGGGGCGAAAGACUAAUCGAACCAUC